UCCAGCAGUAGUCAGCUGUCUGUGUCAGACCCAUGUCUCUGACAGUGUUACACUGCUGGAAGAUAAAAGUAUGGCCUCGUUUACCUGUCUGUCACUGUCUCUGUUCUGGAGGCAGCUGAUGCCAGUGUGGGGCAGUACUGUGCUUUUCUGAGAGUGUGCUGAGCAGUUAACAUCCUGCUCAGCGCUAGUCUGGGAGCAUACACA
rnacentral:snoRNA from 1 species